GAUGAACGCUGGCGGCGUGCUUAACACAUGCAAGUCGAACGAUGACCUCCAGCUUGCUGGGGUGAUUAGUGGCGAACGGGUGAGUAACACGUGAGUAACCUGCCCUUAACUCUGGGAUAAGCCUGGGAAACUGGGUCUAAUACCGGAUAUGACUCCUCAUCGCAUGGUGGGGGGUGGAAAGCUUUUUGUGGUUUUGGAUGGACUCGCGGCCUAUCAGCUUGUUGGUGAGGUAAUGGCUCACCAAGGCGACGACGGGUAGCCGGCCUGAGAGGGUGACCGGCCACACUGGGACUGAGACACGGCCCAGACUCCUACGGGAGGCAG
rnacentral:rRNA from 1 species